GCGCCUAUAGCUCAGUUGGCUAGAGCAUCUCGCUUACACCGAGAGGGUCGGGGGUUCGAGUCCCUCUGGGCGCACC
rnacentral:tRNA from 1 species